GCCAGUGUGACGUAGUGGUUUGAGUGCCACACUACAACUCUGGAGAUCAGGGUUCAAUCCCCAGCUUGGCCA